rnacentral:rRNA from 1 species
CCUACGGGUGGCAGCAGUGAGGAAUAUUGGUCAAUGGACGAGAGUCUGAACCAGCCAAGUAGCGUGAAGGAUGACUGCCCUAUGGGUUGUAAACUUCUUUUAUAUGGGAAUAAAACGUUCCACGUGUGGGAUUUUGUAUGUACCAUAUGAAUAAGGAUCGGCUAACUCCGUGCCAGCAGCCGCGGUAAUACGGCGGAUCCGAGCGUUAUCCGGAUUUAUUGGGUUUAAAGGGAGCGUAGGUGGAUUGUUAAGUCAGUUGUGAAAGUUUGCGGCUCAACCGUAAAAUUGCAGUUGAAACUGGCAGUCUUGAGUACAGUAGAGGUGGGCGGAAUUCGUGGUGUAGCGGUGAAAUGCUUAGAUAUCACGAAGAACUCCGAUUGCGAAGGCAGUUCACUGGACUGCAACUGACACUGAGGCUCGAAAGUGUGGGUAUCAAACAGGAUUAGAUACCCUAGUAGUC